UGGUUAUUUUCCACAGGACAUGGCAUUACCUGCUCAUGAGUCUCUUAUAGUCAGAGCAUGAAUAAGCAAGUCCACACAAAAGCUUCAUUUGACAUGAAGUGAGUAGUUUAAUGAAAAUAACUUUAUAGAAAUGGAAGAACGCACGUAGCUGACGUAAGCCAUGAAAAGAUACAACAACAUGGACAUAACCCCAGGACAGAGCCACAGUCACCAGCUAUUCUCUUCUGAAGCAUUAAGGAGAAGAAAAAGCCAGGAGUUGUUUAAGAGCUAGCUCGUAGGAGAGCCUAGAGGAGAGUCCCACCAGGUGGCAGACGCAGAGGAGAAGGUGGCCAGGACUGGCUGGGUUUGUCACCAGAGAGAGAGGUUUGUCACCAUGCACAGAGACACUCUGCUGGCUCCAACCUCCCGGCGCUGCUGCACGUCACCAGCUGGAUCCAAAUGCAUGCAGAGCCCACGCUGGGGAAAGGUGAGGAGCCACCGUGCUUACUUACCUGGGGGUUAGUGACAUCAUUCGUAUGCCAAUGUAUUUCUUUUUGGUUACAGCUCUACCUUUAGCUUGUCUGUCAUGGGAUUCAGUUAGGAACUUCUUUAUUUUAUCGGAUGGGAUAGCAAAUGAGAUGCCUGCUGUAAC